rnacentral:rRNA from 1 species
UACGUAGGGGGCUAGCGUUGUCCGGAAUCAUUGGGCGUAAAGAGCGUGUAGGCGGCCCGGUAAGUCCGCUGUGAAAGUCGGGGGCUCAACCCUCGGAUGCCGGUGGAUACUGGUCGGGCUUGAGUACGGAAGAGGCGAGUGGAAUUCCUGGUGUAGCGGUGAAAUGCGCAGAUAUCAGGAGGAACACCGGUGGCGAAGGCGGCAUCCUGGACCAACACUGACACUGAGGAGCGAAAGCCAGGGAGCAAACGGG